AGUGUUAAGCCUGAAAUUAAAGGGCUAUCUUGAUGUGAUAGAAAUUGUAUAAAUAUACUAACACUU
rnacentral:tRNA from 1 species